CAGCCCUAGAAAAGGAAAAAAAAAAAAAAAGAUUGCCCAUGUCAUGAAUUCUUAAGCAGGGUCUGUGUAAGGUCUGUGGUUGGAGCUUGCUGUUACAUCUGUGAUCCUCUGAAUUAAUACAUGGGAUGUGUGUUUAUGUGCAUUUUCCUGGUGAGAGAUGGGGUCCAUGCUUUUCCAGAAUCUCAAAGGAGUCUAUGACCUAAAAAAGUCAAAGAGCCCUUGGCCUUGGUCCAAGUCUGUUUCCUGGGAUUUAUUGAACACCUCGCUGUUUGGAGACAAAUCAGGGACUAACUGAAGGGUUCUUUAUGAAAACAACCUCAGGGCUGCCAGUUAGGCAUGACUUUCCUUUCCUCUCUCCGCUCCUCUAAAUUUCUCUUUGUUCUUCCUAUUAUCUCUAUCAAGGGCUAUUUUCAGGGCUGAUUGGAAACGGAGAAUGGGUCUGGCAGCACAGCGACAGGAGAGCGUGUUUGCUGGAAAAAUCAUGGGCUCUAGUUGAGAGCAAAGGCAAUUAGCCCUCAGAAUUGGCCCAUAUUCCUUCCUUUCCUUUCCCCCUUUUUUAAAAACAAGCGAAACCAGUGAAGCCAUUUUCCAGAAAAUGGCAAAGAGCAGAUUCAGGUCUGCAAUUUCCUUGUCUCUGCCCAGGUGACUGUUCUGGGACAGGCGCCAUGUCACCGCGCUCUGGACUGAACCGGGUGUUCUGGUCUCAGGGGCUGAUUCUCUAUUCAUCCUCCGAGGGCUUUGCGGCACCGUGGGUGGGGAGCGCCUCUGGGGUACGUCUGUUCCGGGGGGCUAUGAGACCAGCCCCGCUGGGUAGAAGCGAGGCCACCACGCCCAGCACUGUUUGCCCUCAACCCCCUGAACCUUUAACCCAUGUGGCUGCAGGAGGGCCACGGGUGACAUCGAUGAUGCAGCUAGAAGCACGUCCACGGACCCCCAGGCUGGUUCUUGCUUUCAGUUUCUGACCUGGUGCUGGCUUGAUCGCUCGUGUCUGGAUGCAGAUGGCUGGCUCUUGGCUCUCGAAGGCAGACAGUCAGUUUUCUCUCUUUGUGCUGUGCCUCUGCUGAGAAUGUGGCACUCAUUUUUCCCCACCUUUCCCACCACUUCAAAUCUUCCUGGCCACUUCUAGUGAGGGGUCCCCUGAGCCCAACCCCAGCGCCUUGCUAGGCUUUGCGCAUUGCAAGGGGAGAGUUGACCAACACAGGCGUUUUGCUUCAGCCAAUCAGCUUUACUUACUACCUCCAGACACACCUGUGACCCCCAUCCCUGCGUCACAUGUACCACCUUCUUGAUCUUUCUACUUAAAUCCUAGCUCUUUCAGGUCCCACUUCCCUAACAGUUAUAGCAUCUCCCAUCUGCUGUAUUCACCCAGCCUCCUUUCAGGCCCAGAUUUUUCUUUCACUUGCCUCGGGCCUAUGCACCUCUCGUGGGCAGGCGGCUCGUUUACUCGAUGCCGCCUCUUCCAUCCCUGGGCUCUAAGCAGUGUCUUCUUUAUGUUGGGCUGAGCGCUGCCUCAGUAUCUUCUCUCCACUGGUAUGUGUCCUCUGGGAUUGCGCAGUGGGUAGAAGUGCAGGCUUUGGAAUCAAUAGAGUGGAGUUUAAAUUUCAUCUCACAUUUACUGGCUGUGUGACCUCAGGAAAAUCACUUAACCUCUCUAAGCAUGCGUCUUCUCAUUGCGAACCGAGGCUAAUAAUAAUACCCAUUUCAAUAAGUUGUUGUGAAGAUUAAAGAUCUUUGAGGCAUAGAGUGGACCUGAGAAUAGUAGCUCUGGUUGUAAUUUUACUUUCAGCCUUGCUUAAACAGUCUCAUUUGGCCUUAAACUGCUCUCAUUUCAUCUCAUUUUUCAGGUGUGUGUCUGGGUGACUCAGCUGGCCUGAGCACUUGGAGGGGAGGGCCUUAUCUUCAUUUCUAUCCGCAGCCCACUGUUCUUAGCAGGGCUGGGGGCACUAUAUGUACUCAUCAGUGGGUGCUUGAUUGAGUCAAACCAGUAAGAAAACUGCUGCUCCAUAUGUGUGUGCAUGAAAAACUCACAGGUCAUUCAGAUUCAGCCUUGCUGAACCAGGCUUAGUGGGUUGUCACCGAGUGGUACAGUGAUUCCCCUAACCCCUUCUUGUCUCUCCACAUGGCCUUGAAAAGGCACAAAAGUAGGGCUCCGUCCCCUGAAGGAGAUGGGACACACUCCCAGUGCUGUUCUGAAGGGGGUUGCCUUUUGAGCGGUGGCACGCAGCCAUGAGUCAGCCUGGCAGUGGGUGGUGGCACUGCCAGUCUGAGAGCCAGGGGGUGCAGCAGGUCCCUCCCUCUGAUGGGGUGAGAGGUACGGAAGUGUAUGGUGGUAACACUGGGGGCGGGGUCCGUGUAGAACACUGCUCACAGCAGCGUUGCUGGCCCACAUGGGUGCUCACUGGGAGCAGGUGCAGGGAGCCGAGGGCCCAGGGUCUGACGGAUUCCAGUGGUUAGAGGGUGCUGGUUCCCGCUCCCUUUAUAGGGUGCCAUGCUCACCAUGGAACAUCUCGAAGGUGACUUUCUGGGCUGCUGAGACACGGAGAAAACCACACUCCAGGGGGAGGCUGUCUGGACCACCCUUCUGUCCUUUAGGUCUCCCACUGCCUGUUUUUCUUCCGGCCCCAGGCAGGUUCUAAUGCUUUUGAGACCGGAUGCCUGUGAGAGCCACUGAUGCUGGGGUUUAUUAGUAUGUGUCCCCCUGGGAGCGAGCUCCCCAAGGGAGAGGGGGCUGUGGUUUCACUUCCAUGUGAUCAAGGCAGACUGUGGGGAAGAAGAAAGCGUGGAGAUGAAGGACUGGCAGCUUUAAUGAAGAGAGCGAAUCUUUCAUAGUUUAUGUGCCACCCGGGCCCCUUGCAGUGAGUAGAAAACCUGUCAGCCUCACACGCUGGCCACUGCCACAGCACAGACAGCCAACAUGGCAAAGACAACAGCUGAGAGUCAGAGCUGUUUGAGCCUAGACACAGGGACACUGUCUGUGAAGCACAAAACAUAGACUCAGAUACUGAGUCACAGACCCAAAAAGGUGCUGCAGAGACGGAGUCCCCCAGUCAGGCUCAGUGCAGACCCGGGCACAGAAAUGCUGUCUCAGAGACAUGGUCAAGGAUUCUUGAGGGUGGGUCCUGAGCCAUGGUUGCAGGUGUGAAGAGAGCCCCUCAUUCAUAAACAGACAGACAGACAGACAUGCUCAUCAACAUGUGGCGUGAGGACUGAGACAGAAUCCAGAUUUGCGAUCAUAGGUGGAGCUGGAACCAGCAACAAGUAGCAGACGCAACUCUCAGAAGCGGUCCAGACAGAGGAACAGAGGCCGCCACGGGAAGUGGAUGGGGAUCGGAGUUUUCCCUGUUGCCCCUGAAUUGCCAGCUCAGUCCACAGUUGAGGAAGAGGUCUGGGUGCCCUGCACUGUAAAGGCGGAGUUUGCCAACGGCAGGGGCCAGACAUCUGCCGCAGACCCUGGUCCUGGCUGUCAGCACUCUUGCCUGACCCUCUGCCCAUGGCUUCCUUUUCCAUGAGAGAAGAUGGGGAGGGAGAGAGGAGCCCUUGCUCCAGCUGACCGCAGUGCAGAGUGUGUGGCAAGAAGGCUUCCCUUCUGCUGUCCACUCCCUCCCCCAGAACCAUGUGAGACUUCUCCAUGGGGUGGCUAGAGACACUGGCGUCCUGGUCAUCAGGGGUGGAGGCUGCAGAGGAAGUAAGAGGGGUCUUGGGAGAAUGUGACCCUUUGAGUGUCAGGGUCUACCUGACCAUAGGGGCUUAUGCCUGCUUGUCCACUGGAGGUUUUUGAAAUCAGUGUGUUCAAAGAAGGGACCUUGGGCGAAUGCCUUUGAGGGUGAGGAUCAGACUGGGGCGGUGGCUUUUGGGUCUUUUGAGGCCAGGAAAGAAGACCUCAAUGGCUCCUGUGGCUCCCUGAGAAGGAGCAUGGAGACUGGGGUGCAGGAGCCAUGGGACGGCCUUCCCUGAAGCCCUUGGAGGAGCGUUGGGCUAUGGACUCCUGCUGGGGCCAAAGGGACCUGUCCUUGGUGACAGAGAGAGCUGUGCUGACACUGGUCACACACCCAAGGAAGCUGCAGGCAAACCUACCCAACACAUGUUCCAGCCACUACCAGCGACUAAUGAAACCAGAUGGAGCCAGAGCAAAAUCAGGGACCCCUGCCUCCACCGCCACAGCUGACCAGUCCUGUGAGAGGACCCCAGCCGUCUUUCCCAUCUGCCCUCCCGACAAGAGAUGAGAGAAGAGAAGGGAGGGAGGGAGAGGCCCUUCUCUUCUAGUCCCGCAGCCUGUCUGCUCCAGGUUUGAAUCAAAUGUACUCUGUGGGCUGGACCAGACUUCCAAUAACUGAGACUGACUGGGGGGCACCGGGUUCCACUCAGGAUGUCAUUAGGUGACAGGGAAGGGUUUUGACAGAGCAUGACUGAAGGCAGCCAUGGAGAAAGCGGAGCACUUUUGUGAUCAUUCAUCACUGAACUGAGACUCCUCAAUAAAUUGUGUAUGGACCUGCUGAAACGCCUCGGCAUGGCUAUACCAGUUGUUCACGCCAGGCAUUGGUUCUGACUGGUUGGUGUUGGACGAGUCCUUAAAUAUUCUGAGUAUCACCCCCAUAGUCAAGUGUAAUCGCAAUGGCAGGAAACAUUUACCAAGACAGUUACAGCCAAAAUGGCUACAGGUAUAAUCAAAACAAUCCCAAUUCUAGAAACAGAUGAUAAUUAUGCCCAGACAUAACUCUGGAUCUGGAAAGUGACAAGAAAGAUCACAGAUACGGUCAGUCUUGGAGAUUCUGGCUCAGAGGCACAGGCAAGGUCCAGCGUGGGGGUUGGAACUUGGAUAAGGUGCGCGCAGACAGGUCCCACCGUCCUGGAAGAACAGCAGGAACAAAGCCUCAAAUGCAGACACACACGGACACCGUCUCAGACACAGACUCCAAACUGCCCUCGACCUUCCCUGCCUGAUGCUAUUGGAGAUGAUAUUUCAGAGGAAUGAAUCUUUUUAUAGUCUGGGUUAUAACAAAGGAAAUCCAGUGCUUUAAGUUUCGCCUCUUGUUCCUGGCUCCCUGGCUUCAUCUGAUCCCCAGGGGGCCGACACGUUUACUCCAGCAGGUAUGGCCACGUGGCGAUUUCAGAGACAAGCAGUGGGGGUGGAAGGGGCUCUAUGGAGGGGCAGGGGGCGGAGGGGAGACGUGGGGGAGGGAUGCUGUCUGUGGUUAUCAGCGCAGUCGGCACGCUCACGCUUGUGUGAGCAGGCUCCCAGUGAGUGGGUGAUGGAGAGCUCUCAGACAGAAAGCCACCGUGCUAAAGUGGCUUCUCUCAGGAGGCCCCAUCCCUGGCUCUGCUGGGUCUGGGAACAAUGUCCUGAAGUGAUGUCAGGGCUCACUCAAACCCCAUGUUUGUCAACAGCAGUGUGUGGAGGAGUCGUCUCAACGAAGAGGUUAAUAGAGAUGAGUGGAGAAAGAUGUAAUGAGAAAGAUUCAGAAAUGCUGACCCGACAGGGAAUACAACCAUUCUUAGUACAACAAAUAAUAUCGUAUUGGGUUCUGUUA